rnacentral:rRNA from 1 species
UACACGAGUGGCGAACGGGUGAGUAACACGUGGGUGACCUGCCCUGUACUUCGGGAUAAGCCUGGGAAACUGGGUCUAAUACCGGAUAUGACCUUCUCCUGCAUGGGGGUUGGUGGAAAGCUUUUGCGGUACGGGAUGGGCCCGCGGCCUAUCAGCUUGUUGGUGGGGUAAUGGCCUACCAAGGCGACGACGGGUAGCCGGCCUGAGAGGGCGAUCGGCCACACUGGGACUGAGACACGGCCCAGACUCCUACGGGAGGCAGCAGUGGGGAAUAUUGCACAAUGGGCGCAAGCCUGAUGCAGCGACGCCGCGUGAGGGAUGACGGCCUUCGGGUUGUAAACCUCUUUCAGUAGGGACGAAGCGAAAGUGACGGUACCUACAGAAGAAGCACCGGCCAACUACGUGCCAGCAGCCGCGGUAAUACGUAGGGUGCGAGCGUUGUCCGGAAUUACUGGGCGUAAAGAGCUCGUAGGCGGUUUGUCACGUCGUCUGUGAAAUCCCGAGGCUUAACCUCGGGCCUGCAGGCGAUACGGGCAGACUUGAGUACUGUAGGGGAGACUGGAAUUCCUGGUGUAGCGGUGGAAUGCGCAGAUAUCAGGAGGAACACCGGUGGCGAAGGCGGGUCUCUGGGCAGUAACUGACGCUGAGGAGCGAAAGCGUGGGUAGCG